AAUCAACGCUGGCGGCGUGCCUCAGACAUGCAAGUCGAACGCGAAAUUCCCUUUCGGGGGGAGAGUAGAGUGGCGCACGGGUGAGUAACACGUAGGUAAUCUACCUCUGGGUGGGGAAUAACAGCCGGAAACGGCUGCUAAUACCGCAUAAUGCAGCGGCACCAUAUGGUGACAGUUGUUAAAGCGGGGGAUCCUGAAAGGGACCUCGCGCCUGAAGAGGAGCCUGCGGCAGAUUAGCUAGUUGGUAAGGUAAUGGCUUACCAAGGCGACGAUCUGUAGCCGGCCUGAGAGGGCGGUCGGCCACACUGACACUGACAUACGGGUCAGACUCCUACGGGAGGCAGCAGUCGGG
rnacentral:rRNA from 1 species